rnacentral:rRNA from 1 species
GACGAACGCUGGCGGCGUGCUUAACACAUGCAAGUCGAACGGAAAGGCCCUGCUUUUGUGGGGUGCUUGAGUGGCGAACGGGUGAGUAACACGUGAGUAACCUGCCCUUGACUUUGGGAUAACUUCAGGAAACUGGGGCUAAUACCGGAUAGGAGCUCCUGCUGCAUGGUGGGGGUUGGAACGUUUCGGCGGUUGGGGAUGGACUCGCGGCUUAUCAGCUUGUUGGUGGGGUAGUGGCUUACCAAGGCUUUGACGGGUAGCCGGCCUGAGAGGGUGACCGGCCACAUUGGGACUGAGAGACGGCCGAAGCACCUACGGGAGGCAGCAGUGGGGAAUAUUGCACAAUGGGCGGAGGCCUGAUGCAGCAACGCCGCGUGCGGAAUGACGGCCUUCGGGUUGUAAACCGCUUUCGCCUGUGACGAAGCGUGAGUGACGGUAAUGGGUAAAGAAGCACCAGCAAACUACGU